AUGGACCCUUCCUCGGCCGGCGCCGGCGGCAACUCGCUGCCGUCGGUCGGCCCCGACGGGCAGAAGCGGCGCGUGUGCUACUUCUACGACUCGGAGGUGGGCAACUACUACUACGGGCAGGGCCACCCGAUGAAGCCGCACCGCAUCCGCAUGACCCACUCGCUGCUGGCGCAGUACGGCCUCCUCGACCAGAUGCAGGUGCUGCGCCCCAACCCCGCCCGCGACCGCGACCUCUGCCGCUUCCACGCCGACGACUACAUCUCCUUCCUCCGCUCCGUCACGCCCGAGACGCAGCAGGACCAGAUCCGGGCCCUCAAGCGCUUCAACGUCGGCGAGGACUGCCCCGUCUUCGACGGCCUCUACAGCUUCUGCCAGACCUACGCGGGGGCCUCCGUCGGCGGCGCCGUCAAGCUCAACCACGGCCUUGACAUCGCCAUCAACUGGUCCGGGGGCCUGCACCACGCUAAGAAGUGCGAGGCCUCGGGGUUCUGCUACGUCAACGACAUCGUACUCGCCAUCCUCGAGCUCCUCAAGCACCACCAGCGAGUUCUAUAUGUCGAUAUUGAUAUCCACCAUGGUGAUGGAGUUGAGGAGGCAUUCUACACGACAGACAGGGUUAUGACAGUCUCUUUUCACAAGUUUGGGGAUUAUUUCCCAGGCACAGGGGAUGUCCGUGAUAUUGGGCAUUCAAAAGGAAAGUAUUACUCCCUUAAUGUCCCUCUGGAUGAUGGGAUUGAUGACGAAAGCUACCAGUCCCUGUUUAAGCCUAUAAUGGCCAAAGUUAUGGAGGUUUUCCAGCCUGGUGCAGUUGUUCUUCAAUGUGGCGCCGAUUCAUUAUCUGGGGAUAGGUUGGGCUGCUUCAAUCUUUCGAUCAGAGGUCAUGCAGAAUGCGUGAAGUACAUGAGGUCUUUCAAUGUUCCAUUGUUGCUUCUUGGCGGUGGUGGCUAUACCAUAAGAAAUGUUGCACGAUGUUGGUGUUAUGAGACAGGAGUUGCACUUGGCCAAGAGCUCGAGGAUAAGAUGCCUGUCAAUGAGUACUAUGAAUACUUCGGUCCAGAUUACACUCUUCAUGUAGCACCAAGUAACAUGGAGAACAAAAAUACACGCUACGAACUGGAUAAUAUAAGAACCAAACUUCUUGACAAUCUUUCAAAACUUCGACAUGCCCCUAGCGUUCAGUUUCAAGAGCGACCUCCUGAUACUGAGUUCCCUGAGCCGGAUGAAGAUGAAGAGGAUCAGGAUGAAAGGCAUGAUGACCCUGAUUCUGAUAUGGAAUUGGAGUAUCACACACCUUUGGAAGACUCAGCGAGGAGAAUCACUAUUCAAGGUACAAGAGUUAAGAGAGAAUCAGCUGGAGCUGAGACAAAAGACCAGGAUGGUAGCAGAGUAACAGGUGAACAUAGAGGAUCAGAACCUAUGGCGGAAGACAUCGGCCCCUCCAAGCAAGCUCAUCAGGUCGACGCUAAUGCCAUGGCCGUCGAUGAGCCCGGAAAUGUCAAGACCGAAUCAGGAAGCUCUACCAAGUUGCCUGACCCACCAGCCAUCUACCAGAAGCCAUGA
rnacentral:rRNA from 1 species